CUCCUCACAUUGCAGGCCACGGUCAAGUUGCAUAAGACUCCUUUUUGCUAUUUAUUCUCCAGGACAGCAUCUUCUCCUGGACUUUGAGUGAGAACUCCUGGACUCCGCUGCUGAAGGAGCACAUGGUCAUCUUACUGGCUCCAUCCACCUGGGUUACACAUGCUUCUUCUACUCCCAGGAGAAGAGAGUUACACAGAAAAAGGAUCUGCUCAUGAAAGACCAGCUAACCCAACUGUCUGACUAAGUACACAGGGCCAUGUAGAAGAGGUUGCAUAGGCGAUCCAUGGAGCCAGGUGUGGUGAAGACUUGGAAAAGUGGGAACACCAAGAGUAGAAGAGCUACCUACGUCUACCAUCCUGGAGAAGGCCGGGCCUGACAUCUCCAAGUUCACUUCGAGGGUUACGAGGGUCACCAAGGGUGUGCUACACUUGACAUUUUCACAAAUUGCUCUGUUUUCCUAUUCAUGUGAACGCUUCACUUCCUCCCAAACCAGUCAAAUGGCUUCGUCUAAUGGAACCCAGCAGUUUGCCAAGCUUUGCCUUGUAGAAGAGGCCCUUCGUGGUCCACACCUGGUGGGAACGUGAGUGCAGUCAUAGCCUUCGGUGUGGUCAGGCUGGAAGGAACAUUCCUAAGCCCUGGCAAGAGUUCUGGUCCUGAAGUGAGGAGGAGUUGUUUACAUUCUGGAAGAGCGCUGUCUUCAAUCAGGCAAUUGCUUCUGAUCAUCCAUCUCUUGCUCCUGACCAUCCAUGGCAACCACCCACAGCAGAAAGGGCCGAGCCCAGGGACGGAUGGGCACGAAGUCUUGGAACUUGUCUAAUGUCACGGUCAUGUCCUGUCAAACAGGAUCUAAGAAAGACUUGACUUGAACCCAGAGGGAGCGCUGGGAGAAGCAGCUCCGUUCCAGCCAUCUGCGAUGCCCUACGUCAAAACAUCCACCUGGGUGUAGAAAUGGCCAUUGGUCUUCCCAGCUCUCCACAGACCACACUGCUUGCCUCUUUCUGUCUGUCUGUCUGUCUUCAGUCUUCUGGUUUCAAUGGCAGGUUUUUAAUUUUUCUAGGAAAACCUUGCUUCGGGUAUGAUUUUAUUAUUUUAUGGACAGGUGUUAUUUUAUUCUUUUAUGGACAGGCCCUGGAACCAAAUAAGGAUUCAGUGUGUAUUGAAUUGCACGCAAAUGCCACCAGGAGCAUGACAGAGCUUUGGAUCUGGGAGACAGAAAAGCUAGGAGAGCAGCCCUGCCUGUUUUGCCGAGUACAGAAUGUUCCCUUCUGUGAACUGAGCUUGAACUUUUCCAGUCCACUUUGUUGGAGGAAACACACAGACACAGAGGAAAAAGACAGGGAAGAUAACCCUUGAAUUGUGGAAAUUGUGGUGUUGCCUGCGAUUUGGGCUCAGGCCAUGUGCUUUUCGCUGCUGGAAAUGGAAAGAAAGAAAGAAAGAAAGAGAAAGAAAGCGAGAAAUCUAAGCAUUACACUUCUUGGAAGAAGAAAACGCCUGUGAUGUCCUUCCUUUAAGACAGGACUUGGCACGGGCUCUGGAAUUAACAAGUCUGUCACUGUCUCUCUUCAAUUUCUUUUUUUUCCUCCUCCUUAGGCAUCAGAGAAACAACAACAAUAAAAGCUGUUUUCCUAUAAAGGAAAGAAAGAUAGGCAGCCGAAGCCUGUGACUUCUUGGUUUUUCAGGUUAUCUUACUUUUAUAAAUCGUGUUCCCCAAUU